CAGGGCACUUGCCUCAGAAAAUCGGUGCUUCUGCAGGAAAUCUAAACCUCUAUGGACACUCAGGUAUGACGCAUUUCUUUUGAACAUACCUGGUUGAAAAUGAGAUAGUAAACACCCACCUGGACUGGGUGGGGCUUCUGUGGCACCUUCACUGAGAAACCAUUACCUCGAGGGAUGAUUUGGAAAGAAAACAUCACUGUUUCCCGGAAGGCCUGUGCUGGCUUGUCACGACCAGUUGUGGAUAGUCACUCCCGACAAAAACCCGCCUGUGUUCUAAAGCCUCGGCCUUCCUACAGCAAUAAUGCCAGCGAGCUCAAAGUUUGCCUUGAGAGUAAGAUGUUUAUCAGAUUGUAUAACUGCCUAUGAAUGACCUCACUCAGACCCUCAGGAAUGCCAAUGGCCCUGUUUAUAAUCCAGGUGGAGGAGAAGCUGAAGCCCCCAAUCUGGGGAGCAGACCCCGGAGCACCUGAAGAGGAAAUCCUGCCUGUCCCGUUCCCGUGGAGGGGGGCGGAUGACCCAGAAAUAAAGACCUCUUCCAUGGGGUUGUUU
rnacentral:lncRNA from 1 species